ACAUGGUCAACGGGUGUCGCCUGC
rnacentral:siRNA from 1 species